rnacentral:lncRNA from 1 species
CUCAGAAGCGCCGAGAGCGCGACCGGGACGGUUGGAGAAGAAGGUGGCUCCCGGAAGGGGGAGAGACAAACUGCCGUAACCUCUGCCGUUCAGGAUCCCGGUUACUUAUUUAUUCGUUACCCCUUUUCUUCUUCCUCCCUCCCAAAACCUCCUCCUCUCCUCCCUUCUUUUGUUUCCUUUUUGGGAGCCGACGAAUCUCCGGAAAGGGAGAAAAGGCUUUCUUUCAGCCCUUUUCGUUCCUCUGCCUUCCCCCCCCCUUCCCCCCUCCCCCACCUUUCCCUCCUCCAGCCUUUCCCUCCCUAUCCCGGGAGGUCUUUCCUGGUGGCCGCCCGGACGGGUUCUGAGCACUUAGGCGGCGGUGGCGCAGGCUUUUUGUAGCGAGGUUUGCGCCUGCGCAGCGCGCCUGCCUCGCCAUGCACGGGGGUGGCCCCCCCUCCGGGGACAGCGCAUGCCCGCUGCGCACCAUCAAGAGAGUGCAGUUCGGAGUCCUGAGUCCGGAUGAAUUGGUAAGAUAGUCCGCCCGUCUCUCUGCUAUGCCUUUGGCUGAUGAUCCUCUGGGAAGAUGGGUCAGUGAUGCUGAUGUUGUGCGGGGGUCCAGCCUUCAAAAGUUAAAUUAUGCCAGGACUUAAACAAGCGAAAUGCUAUGCCUGAGAUGAGUGCUUGACUGGACAGAGAAGAAAGAUGUUUCCAUACUUGAGCAUUGCUGCGGUUCAACGAGACAGGGUUGAAAGUUGUACAGGAAGUGGAUCCCCAGUUUUAGUUCUUUCACCAAUAUUGAGCAUCCUGCUAUGUGACAGUAAUCAGACACUAGGAACACAGCUGCACAAUAAAUAUAACAGAAACUCUACCUUCUAAAACACUAUGGGAAAAACAGAGAAGAGAGCUUAAGAACAAAAAGAAAUGAGCAAAAAUAAGUACCUAGAUUAAAGCAAAAUGAGGAAAUGCUGUAAGAAGUCACUGAAAUUGAAUGGUGUCAGGGUUUGGAAGACAUACUUGCCAGGGAUGGUGACAUUCCCAAGUAAUAUCAGUCAUCAGAGCUAUUUUUUUAGGUGGAGGAAACAAGUGUCAUGGGACUGAGAGGGAAAUAAACUUGUAUUCUAGAGACUGAAAAGCCAGUGUUGGGGCAGGCAGGGUUAGUGGGUGCGGAGAGUGCACUGAAGAAGCACGGGAUAUUGUAAAUUACGCUCUAGAGAGUCCAAAUUUCUGUUUUCAGUAGGAAACCACUGGGUAAUUAUAAAGGUGACAGUAGUAACUUAUACACACACGCAUGUACAGAAGCUCCGUAAAGAGCUGAUGUGAAGUGGGUGAGGAUAGACAAGGGAUAGCUUUUGGAGACUUGGACUUCUUCCUCCUGAGAGGAAUAGAGAGUGGAAUUAAACAGCUGAUUCUAGACUGAGGCAGUCCUGUUGGGGUAAGGGCUCAACUAUAGCAGAACUC